GAUGAACGCUGGCGGCGUGCCUCAUACAUGCAAGUCGAGCGAACAGACGAGGAGCUUGCUCCUCUGACGUUAGCGGCGGACGGGUGAGUAACACGUGGAUAACCUACCUAUAAGACUGGGAUAACUUCGGGAAACCGGAGCUAAUACCGGAUAAUAUAUUGAACUGCAUGGUUCAAUAGUGAAAGACGGUUUUGCUGUCACUUAUAGAUGGAUCCGCGCCGCAUUAGCUAGUUGGUAAGGUAACGGCUUACCAAGGCAACGAUGCGUAGCCGACCUGAGAGGGUGAUCGGCCACACUGGAACUGAGACACGGUCCAGACUCCUACGGGAGGCAGCAGUAGGGAAUCUUCCGCAAUGGGCGAAAGCCUGACGGAGCAACGCCGCGUGAGUGAUGAAGGUCUUCGGAUCGUAAAACUCUGUUAUUAGGGAAGAACAAAUGUGUAAGUAACUAUGCACGUCUUGACGGUACCUAAUCAGAAAGCCACGGCUAACUACGUG
rnacentral:rRNA from 1 species